CCCGGCAGCGGGCGAUCGGGGGGCCAGGUGCCUCCACAGUCAGCCAUGGCAGCGCUGCGCUACGCGGGCCUGGACGACACGGACAGUGAGGACGAGCUGCCUCCGGGCUGGGAGGAGAGAACCACCAAGGACGGCUGGGUUUACUACGCCAAUCACACCGAGGAGAAGACUCAGUGGGAACAUCCAAAAACUGGAAAAAGAAAACGAGUGGCAGGAGAUUUGCCAUACGGAUGGGAACAAGAAACUGAUGAGAACGGACAAGUGUUUUUUGUUGAGGCAGAAAAGAAAAUGCUGACGUAUGCUGCCUUCUCUCUCUGCUUCGGCUACCUAAAAGGGAAGGGUCCUCUAUCCUGUAAUCACGUGACUUGCUUCACCUUGUCAAUCACUUAGAAGAUUCACCCUCCUUACCCUGCCCCCUUGUCUUGUAUGCAAUAAAUAUCAGCGUGCC
rnacentral:sRNA from 1 species